GAUAGCUCAGUUGGUAGAGUAUGAGACUCUUAAUCUCAGGGUUGUGCGCUCAAGCCCCACGUUGGGCA